rnacentral:rRNA from 1 species
UACGGAGGGGGCUAGCGUUGCUCGGAAUCACUGGGCGUAAAGGGUGCGUAGGCGGGUUUUUAAGUCAGAGGUGAAAUCCUGGAGCUCAACUCCAGAACUGCCUUUGAUACUGAAAGUCUUGAGUAUGGGAGAGGUGAGUGGAACUGCGAGUGUAGAGGUGAAAUUCGUAGAUAUUCGCAAGAACACCAGUGGCGAAGGCGGCUCACUGGCCCAUAACUGACGCUGAGGCACGAAAGCGUGGGGAGCAAACAGG